GAUGAACGCUGGCGGCGUGCCUAACACAUGCAAGUCGAGCGAACGGACGAGAAGUUUGCUUCUCUGAUGUUAGCGGCGGACGGGAGAGUAACAUGUGGAUAACCUACCUAUAAGACUGGGAUAAUUUCGGGAAACCGGAGCUAAUACCGGAUAAUAUUUUGAACCGCAUGGUUCAAAAGUGAAAGACGGUCUUGCUGUCACUUAUAGAUGGAUCCGCGCUGCAUUAGCUAGUUGGUAAGGUAACGGCUUACCAAGGCAACGAUGCAUAGCCGACCUGAGAGGGUGAUCGGCCACACUGGAACUGAGACACAGUCCAGACUCCUACGGGAGGCAGCAGUAGGGAAUCUUCCGCAAUGGGCGAGAGCCUGACGGAGCGACGCCGCGUGAGUGAUGAAGGUCUUCGGAUCGUAAAACUCUGUUAUUAGUGGAAAACAUAUGUGUAAGUAACUGUGCACAUCUUGACGGUACCUGAUCAAAAAGCCACGGCUAACUACGUG
rnacentral:rRNA from 1 species